rnacentral:rRNA from 1 species
CCUACGGGAGGCAGCAGUGGGGAAUUUUGGACAAUGGGCGAAAGCCUGAUCCAGCAAUGCCGCGUGUGGGAAGAAGGCCUUCGGGUUGUAAACCACUUUUGUACGGAACGAAACGGCUCGCUUUAAUACAGCGGGCUAAUGACGGUACCGUAAGAAUAAGCACCGGCUAACUACGUGCCAGCAGCCGCGGUAAUACGUAGGGUGCGAGCGUUAAUCGGAAUUACUGGGCGUAAAGCGUGCGCAGGCGGUUAUAUAAGACAGUUGUGAAAUCCCCGGGCUCAACCUGGGAAUUGCAUCUGUGACUGUAUAGCUAGAGUACGGUAGAGGGGGAUGGAAUUCCGCGUGUAGCAGUGAAAUGCGUAGAUAUGCGGAGGAACACCGAUGGCGAAGGCAAUCCCCUGGACCUGUACUGACGCUCAUGCACGAAAGCGUGGGGAGCAAACAGGAUUAGAUACCCUGGUAGUCCACGCCCUAAACGAUGUCAACUGGUUGUUGGGUGCAUUAGUACUCAGUAACGAAGCUAACGCGUGAAGUUGACCGCCGUGGGGAGUACGGCCGCGAAGGUUGAAACUUCAAAUUGAAUUGACGGCUUGGNGAGNGCGACGGACGACGACGAGGGAGGAGG